rnacentral:tRNA from 1 species
GUGAGUGUAGCUCAAUUGGCAGAGCAUUGGUCUGUGGCUCCAAUGGUUGGGGGUUCAAGUCCCCUCACUCACC